GUGACUGCGUACCUUUUGUAUAAUGGGUCAGCGACUUAUAUUCUGUAGCAAGGUUAACCGAAUAGGGGAGCCGGAGGGAAACCGAGUCUUAAUUGGGCGUUAAGUUGCAGGGUAUAGACCCGAAACCCGGUGAUCUAGCCAUGGGCAGGUUGAAGGUUGGGUAACACUAACUGGAGGACCGAACCGACUAAUGUUGAAAAAUUAGCGGAUGACCUGUGGCUGGGGGUGAAAGGCCAAUCAAACCGGGAGAUAGCUGGUUCUCCCCGAAAGCUAUUUAGGUAGCGCCUCGUGAAUUCAUCUCCGGGGGUAGAGCACUGUUUCGGCUAGGGGGCCAUCCCGGCUUACCAACCCGAUGCAAACUGCGAAUACCGGAGAAUGUUAUCACGGGAGACACACGGCGGGUGCUAACGUCCGUCGUGAAGAGGGAAACAACCCAGACCGCCAGCUAAGGUCCCAAAGUCAUGGUUAAGUGGGAAACGAUGUGGGAAGGCCCAGACAGCCAGGAUGUUGGCUUAGAAGCAGCCAUCAUUUAAAGAAAGCGUAAUAGCUCACUGGUCGAGUCGGCCUGCGCGGAAGAUGUAACGGGGCUAAACCAUGCACCGAAGCUGCGGCAGCGACACUGUGUGUUGUUGGGUAGGGGAGCGUUCUGUAAGCCUGUGAAGGUGUGUCGUGAGGCAUGCUGGAGGUAUCAGAAGUGCGAAUGCUGACAUAAGUAACGAUAAAGCGGGUGAAAAGCCCGCUCGCCGGAAGACCAAGGGUUCCUGUCCAACGUUAAUCGGGGCAGGGUGAGUCGACCCCUAAGGCGAGGCCGAAAGGCGUAGUCGAUGGGAAACGGGUUAAUAUUCCCGUACUUGGUGUUACUGCGAAGGGGGGACGGAGAAGGCUAUGUUGGCCGGGCGACGGUUGUCCCGGUUUAAGCGUGUAGGUGUGUGUUCCAGGUAAAUCCGGUUCACUUUAACACUGAGGCGUGACGACGAGGCACUACGGUGCUGAAGCAACAAAUGCCCUGCUUCCAGGAAAAGCCUCUAAGCAUCAGGUAACAUCAAAUCGUACCCCAAACCGACACAGGUGGUCAGGUAGAGAAUACCAAGGCGCUUGAGAGAACUCGGGUGAAGGAACUAGGCAAAAUGGUGCCGUAACUUCGGGAGAAGGCACGCUGACACGUAGGUGAAGUGAUUUACUCAUGGAGCUGAAGUCAGUCGAAGAUACCAGCUGGCUGCAACUGUUUAUUAAAAACACAGCACUGUGCAAACACGAAAGUGGACGUAUACGGUGUGACGCCUGCCCGGUGCCGGAAGGUUAAUUGAUGGGGUCAGCGCAAGCGAAGCUCCUGAUCGAAGCCCCGGUAAACGGCGGCCGUAACUAUAACGGUCCUAAGGUAGCGAAAUUCCUUGUCGGGUAAGUUCCGACCUGCACGAAUGGCGUAAUGAUGGCCAGGCUGUCUCCACCCGAGACUCAGUGAAAUUGAACUCGCUGUGAAGAUGCAGUGUACCCGCGGCAAGACGGAAAGACCCCGUGAACCUUUACUAUAGCUUGACACUGAACAUUGAGCCUUGAUGUGUAGGAUAGGUGGGAGGCUUUGAAGUGUGGACGCCAGUCUGCAUGGAGCCGACCUUGAAAUACCACCCUUUAAUGUUUGAUGUUCUAACGUGGACCCGUUACCCGGGUUGCGGACAGUGUCUGGUGGGUAGUUUGACUGGGGCGGUCUCCUCCUAAAGAGUAACGGAGGAGCACGAAGGUUGGCUAAUCCUGGUCGGACAUCAGGAGGUUAGUGCAAUGGCAUAAGCCAGCUUGACUGCGAGCGUGACGGCGCGAGCAGGUGCGAAAGCAGGUCAUAGUGAUCCGGUGGUUCUGAAUGGAAGGGCCAUCGCUCAACGGAUAAAAGGUACUCCGGGGAUAACAGGCUGAUACCGCCCAAGAGUUCAUAUCGACGGCGGUGUUUGGCACCUCGAUGUCGGCUCAUCACAUCCUGGGGCUGAAGUAGGUCCCAAGGGUAUGGCUGUUCGCCAUUUAAAGUGGUACGCGAGCUGGGUUUAGAACGUCGUGAGACAGUUCGGUCCCUAUCUGCCGUGGGCGCUGGAGAACUGAGGGGGGCUGCUCCUAGUACGAGAGGACCGGAGUGGACGCAUCACUGGUGUUCGGGUUGUCAUGCCAAUGGCACUGCCCGGUAGCUAAAUGCGGAAGAGAUAAGUGCUGAAAGCAUCUAAGCACGAAACUUGCCCCGAGAUGAGUUCUCCCUGAGACUUA
rnacentral:rRNA from 1 species